CUCUCUUACCCUAUUACAUUCUUGCCUUUCUCUUGCCUCUUGCCCCCUUACUCCCAAUUCCCUUUCCCCCUCUCUCCACGUGGCCAUAGCCGGCCCCGAUUUCUCUACUCUCUCCUUCUCUCUGCCUUUCUCUGCCUGUUACCCUCUUAACUCCCCUCCCCAUGCCCUGAAUAAACUCUAUUCUAUACUAUA
rnacentral:lncRNA from 1 species